GAUGAACGCUAGCGGGAGGCUUAACACAUGCAAGUCGAGGGGCAGCAUAGGGUAGCAAUACCUGGUGGCGACCGGCGCAAGGGUGCGUAACGCGUGAGCAACAUGCCCUAUACAGGGGGAUAAUCCAGGGAAACUUGGUCUAAUAUCCCAUAGUAUUUAGAGGAGGCAUCUUCUAUAAAUUAAAGCUUCGGUGGUAUAGGAUUGGCUCGCGUGACAUUAGCUAGAUGGUGAGGUAACGGCUCACCAUGGCAAUGAUGUCUAGGGGUUCUGAGAGGAAGGCCCCCCACACUGGGACUGAGACACGGCCCAGACUCCUACGGGAGGCAGCAGUGAGGAAUAUUGGACAAUGGAUGGAAAUCUGAUCCAGCCAUGCCGCGUGCAGGAAGACAGCCCUAUGGGUUGUAAACUGCUUUUAUAUGGGAGCAAUAAGGUCUACGUGUAGACUGAUGAGAGUACCAUAUGAAUAAGC
rnacentral:rRNA from 1 species